AAAAUAUCAAGGUCUGAGAUGACCCAGAAAGCACUAUCAAUUUAAGAAAGCCUACUUGGGUAUUGAGCAUUUACAAAUAAGAAAUGAGUUUUUCACAAUAGAUAGUUGUGUAACUCCGUAAAACAGAAUCGAGUCCAUUUUCUUACAUAUAAACUUUUCUAUAGGUAUACUCGGUUCGUUUGAUUGAUGCUCGAGCCGGAUGA
rnacentral:lncRNA from 1 species